AGGAAUAAAAUCUGGUGCGUAUAAAUAAAUAAAUACAUUUAAAAAAAAUGAUUUCUGGGGAGCAAUGCUGUGUUAGCCACGUUGUGGUAAAAGGUUGUGUUUGUGUGACAGGAAGAUCAUUUCCAAUUCCAAUGGUUUGAGGGAAAGAGAGGUAUGGAAAAAGUCAGCCAUCCAACAAGGAAACUGCUGAGGUUAGGACAAGGGAGGUUUCCACUCUCCUUUUUCUACUCCAUCCAGGGGCCCAGAGGUGAAACAAGGCUGUGUGCAAGUAUAUUCCUCUUUAGGAGAACCCAGAUAGGCUAACGGUGACCAAGGAACACGUCACCCCUGCAGCAAAGCUGAGGUUACCUGUAUAGCAUCAAAGCUGCAGUCACCAACAAAAUCAGCAGGACGCUGAGGAGUCCACCAACGGCGUAGCUGACAUGCAGUCCUUCACCUACAAGGGAGAAACGCCAGGGACUGAGCAGACACCAGAGGGAGUGCAAAGCUGGUGCGCUUGCCGUGCGCAGAAGGUAGCUCUGGCAUAUUAUGGCAGGCAACUGGAGGCACCUCCCAACGGUCUGGGGAAAGCCAUGUAGACAGCAGAAGUGCAUCUGAAACCAAGAUACCAUGACGUGUAACUAGAACUCCACUGAGGAACGUGGGCAUGGGGAAAAGCUGUUAUCCCAGCACUUGAAGGACCCUGGGUGAGGACACUCUAAGCUUCAUAAUGUCCAUAUUUGAAAAAAAAAAAUUCCAGGUGGAAUGAGAGACGGGACAGGAUCGAUGUUUAUGUAUCAGAGAAUGAGUAAAACAUGAGGGAAAUGCUAGUUAUGAUUGUUACUUUUGUUUCUUCAGCUAUAGGACAGAAGUACAUGAAAAUGUCCUGCUAACCAGGAAAAAAGAAUAGAGAAGGCCUCUUUCUUUUAGCACCUAUGUUCUGCUUAGUAAUGUGUCAUUUUCUUAAAAAUUAUAUUCCAGCUAACAUUCUAAAUAGUCAAAACAUGUAUUACAGGCUAUAAAGAACUAGCAGGGGGCUUAUUUCUAUGAGGAUUAAAAAAACAAAACAAAACAAAACAAAACAGACAGCCCAAGGAGAUGAUUCACUGGGUUCUUGCCAGGAAAACAUGAGGAUCUGGGUUCAGAGCCCCAGCACCCAUGUGAAAAGCUGGUCGCAGCAGCAAACACCUGCAAUCCCCGUGCUGGAGAGGUGGAGCCAGGAGGAGUCAUCGAGCUGGCUGGCUAGUCAGCCUAGACAAUCCGUGAGCUCUAAGGUUAGGGAGAGGCCAUGUGUCAAAAAAAAACCCCAAAAACCACGGGAAGCAACUGAGGAAGACACUGCACAUUGAGCUCUGGCCUCCACGUGUACAUAGGAAUGUGUAUACACACACCUAGGAAAAAAUGUCUGAGGAGAUUUCAGAUGUUUCCCAAAUAAAACCAGGGACUAGGAGCACAGCUCAGCAGGACGGCUUGCCUAGCGUAUGUGGAGUUCACAUUUUGGCUUUGUGAACACAACAAAGGUUCUAAAGGAAAUUUAAGAAUAAAGAUGAUGGGGGUUGGGGAUUUAGCUCAGUGGUAGAGUGCUUGCCUAUCAAGCACAAGGCCCUGGGUUCGGUCCCCAGCUCUGAAAAAAAGAAAAAAGAAAAAAAAAGAUUAAAGAUGAUGGCUAACAUUUCAAAGUUAGUCAGAAAGGCACGUGUUCACACCUGGAUGUUUGUUUUCUUUACAGACUACACAGAAUGCAGAGCCCAGAGCCCAGAGCCUAGAGCACUGUCUGGGAAUCACUGUUUCUGAUGUCAGCUCAAUGACCUUUUAAACUAUAGUUGCCAGAGCAUCAAAUUUAAUGAAAUAUAUUUUGUGCUUGCUUUGAA